UACGUAGGGUCCAAGCGUUAUCCGGAAUCACUGGGCGUAAAGCGUGCGUAGGCGGUUGCUUGCGUGAGACAUGAAAGCGUGUGGCUCAACCAUAUCGUUGUGUCUCAUACGGGGCAACUAGAGGACGGCAGAGGCAAGUGGAACUCGUAGUGUAGCAGUGAAAUGCGUAGAUAUUACGAAGAACACCAAUGGCGAAGGCAGCUUGCUGGGCCGCCCCUGACGCUAAGGUACGAAAGCGUGGGGAGCGAACAGG
rnacentral:rRNA from 1 species